GGACACGGGAAAUGUAACUUUAUCUAAAUACUCUAAAUGUAUUUUCGUUGUUGUUGUUUUCUACCCUCUAAAAGGUAUUACAGUUGCUGCUGCUGUCUGUGUAGAUUCAUGGUAUUUCUAGAAGCUUCAGCAGGAGGCAAGUGGACUUAUUUUUUUUGGUUUUUGAAGAUGUUUUGCCUUCAUUCAAGAAGCGUGUUCAUUUCUAACUGGCCAUGGGGAUAUAAAUAUAUUGUCACCCAUCAACUUACAUGGCUAAGACAACAUUAAAGACCCAAGACUGGCAAGCCUGGGGUUGUCUAUGGUUGAGGACCUGCCAGUGAUGAUCCAAGCUGCUGAGGAGUGUCUGAAGGUUCAAGAUGUGAUCAUCUUCCAUGACAGCAUAAUGAAGCUUGAACAUUGGUGGACCAAGAGAAUUGAAGUUAAGGGAGACUAAGUCCAUCCGUCCAUCCAUCCAUCCAUCCAAGAUGCAAUGCAGCCAGCUAAGUAUCUAAAUUCCAGACUCCUUCUCCCCACCAAUGUUGUCCAGUUCCACCUAAGGAAUCCCAGGGUGUUCCCAGGCCAGAUGAGAAAUAAAAUCCCUUCAGCAUCCAGGAUCUACCCCACUAUCUCCUCCCAGUUGCUCGGAAACCCUCUAAGCUCCACUUCCUCCUCCUCCCGUCUCCACUCACCGCUCUGUGCUGCUGGACCUGCUUGUGGUUGGUGAUGACUUGCCGGAUGCCGUUGACGAAGCCGCUCUGGUCGUUGGGGAUGAGGCCCAUGAAUAUUCUCUUCUUGGAUGAGUAGAGCAGCAUCAGCACGCGCACUUCACACGGCGACGUAGUGUGGGGGAAGUGGACGCAGCCAGCCUGCAGAGGGUCACAGGGCAGAUUAAGACCUUGACAUGGGACCCUGUUGUAAUUAUGUGAUGGGCUCAGGCUUGGGGACAUAACCUGCUCCUGAGCUCCUUUGCCCAAUCAAACAUAUCGGUUUUAUAAAUUGAAUGCAAAUGGUAUUAACUUAAUUCAUACCGUGCUUUCCCUGAGCCGUAAAUCAAAUUCAGGCGAAGAGGCAGAGCUCAGCUGGACUGAAUACUAUUUCUCAAUGGUAUUACCUGAUUAACAAUGCACCACACUGAAAAAACUCCUAUCAUUACGCUAGCCUUCUGGAAAUGAAUCAAAACUAAACAAUUAAAAUUUUCUAUGUGAACUGAUGGCAAAUCAUGUUUAAAAUCAUAUUAUGUAGGUUGAAAUGCAUGGCCUAGAACCCCCUCUAGAGUCUCCACUGCAGCACUGCAACACAGCUUUAUGUUCAGCCCAUCUGCUGGACAGAGGUGGGACAUGCACCCAGUUUGCAUUCAUGGAAAAAACAUUGAGGAAUACUGAAUGAUGGAUAAGACAGGGGACACACAUUUAAAGGUGGAGAGGGGCCAGAGAGACUUUGAAAACUUACAAAGCCAUUAGCCAUAAUGCGGUACAGGCCUUUCAGCGACUCCAUGUCUUUGUUGGUGAAGAGAAACUGAACCAUUCGAGAGUUUCUGAAGAGGUGACCUAAGGUCGUCUGCGGAGAGAGAGAGAGAGAGAGAGAGAGAGAGAGAGAGAGAGAGAGAGAGAGAGAGAGGGAGGACUUAGUUAUGCAUCAUUCAUAAAGAAGUCACCACUGCAAACAAGCAGGAGCCAGAACAACACGUUCACCCACUAAAACAAAGGCAGAAAAAUCGCUCUCACCAGUAACUGCUGCGGAAUCAGCUGCAUGAUGAGCUUCUGUGGCCACUGGUCUGUGUUUCUGUUCAGAGACAGCAAUAACAUGUCAGCGGUGACCGUUUGUGUGAAAUAAAUAAACUUCACUACACACGA